AGAGUUUGAUCCUGGCUCAGGACGAACGCUGGCGGCGUGCCUAAUACAUGCAAGUAGAACGCUGAAGAGAGGAGCUUGCUCUUCUUGGAUGAGUUGCGAACGGGUGAGUAACGCGUAGGUAACCUGCCUUGUAGCGGGGGAUAACUAUUGGAAACGAUAGCUAAUACCGCAUAACAAUGGAUGACCCAUGUCAUUUAUUUGAAAGGGGCAAAUGCUCCACUACAAGAUGGACCUGCGUUGUAUUAGCUAGUAGGUGAGGUAACGGCUCACCUAGGCGACGAUACAUAGCCGACCUGAGAGGGUGAUCGGCCACACUGGGACUGAGACACGGCCCAGACUCCUACGGGAGGCAGCAGUAGGGAAUCUUCGGCAAUGGGGGCAACCCUGACCGAGCAACGCCGCGUGAGUGAAGAAGGUUUUCGGAUCGUAAAGCUCUGUUGUAAGUCAAGAACGAGUGUGAGAGUGGAAAGUUCACACUGUGACGGUAGCUUACCAGAAAGGGACGGCUAACUACGUGCCAGCAGCCGCGGUAAUACGUAGGUCCCGAGCGUUGUCCGGAUUUAUUGGGCGUAAAGCGAGCGCAGGCGGUUUGAUAAGUCUGAAGUUAAAGGCUGUGGCUCAACCAUAGUUCGCUUUGGAAACUGUCAAACUUGAGUGCAGAAGGGGAGAGUGGAAUUCCAUGUGUAGCGGUGAAAUGCGUAGAUAUAUGGAGGAACACCGGUGGCGAAAGCGGCUCUCUGGUCUGUAACUGACGCUGAGGCUCGAAAGCGUGGGGAGCGAACAGGAUUAGAUACCCUGGUAGUCCACGCCGUAAACG
rnacentral:rRNA from 1 species